rnacentral:rRNA from 1 species
UACGUAGGGUGCAAGCGUUGUCCGGAAUUCUUGGGCGUACAGAGCUCGUAGGCGGUCUGUUGCGUCGGCUGUGAAAACCCGGGGCUCAACUCCGGGCCUGCAGCCGAUACGGGCAGACUAGAGUUCGGCAGGGGAGACUGGAAUUCCUGGUGUAGCGGUGAAAUGCGUAGAGAUCGGGAGGAACACCAGUGGCGAAGGCGGCUACCUGGACCAGCACUGACACUGAGGCACGAAAGCGUGGGGAGCAAACAGG